rnacentral:lncRNA from 1 species
CAGACUCCUGUGACACGCGUUUACCUAUAUAACAAACCCUCCCAUGUACCCCCAAACCUAAAAUAAAAGUUAAAAAAAAAGCAACACAGCUUUUUAUUUUUUCUUUUUAAUACCAUAAAGGUCACGGGCCAUUUGCCACCUGAACAGUCAGUAAUACAUGAGUGGAAAGAAACUGAACACCCAGGGACACCAGAGACUGUUCACUGUAGAGGAAGGAGGCAGGCAUAUGGCAUAAGGUGAACUUCCUCCAGUCCCAAAGUGGUUCCUCUCUCCUCUUAAAUGCAGGUCCCAUGGAAUUCAGACAAGGAAGUAAAGCAAAUGAGAAUGGCCCACAGGGGAGCAGUUCAAAUGCGCAGAAAAAGAUAGAGCAGCCCCAAUGAGGAAGGAAGGCUGGACAAGAAAUGGAUUUGUAGGGAAGACAAUGUGCACCCAUCGGAGCUCUGAUUGCUUUACUUUCACUACCCUCCCCUGCCCACUAACAUCGAAAAAGUAUCAAUGAUUUGUGAACAUGGCAUAUGGCAUACGAACACCCUGAGAGUAGGAUCGUGGGGCAUCCGAUGGUGAUUGUCCUUAGAGUUGGUGGGGGCCCAGCUUCCCGCUGUCUGUGAACUGCUGCGUGCAGAAUCGGUGUCUUCUUUAACUUCACAACGAUGCCACAAGGCAAAUAGCAUUGUCUUCACUUUCUGUGUAAGAAAACUAAGGCUGGGUGAGAGUAUGCAGAGCUGGAUCAUGGAUUUGUUUGGCUCCUUCUAGUUUGAAAACCUGUGAGUAUUUUCCUGUCUCUAAUGCUAAUCUUAGCACUGUAUUUGGAAUAAGCAUAUAAACAUAUAACCACAAUCCACUCAGGUAAUAUGCAACUAAAUUAUAAAUAAAUGCUCAAUGAGAUUAUGAGUGAUUGAAUGAGCUAUAUAUAAGAAUAAUAACUGGUGGAAGUGUUAUUCAUAGGAUAAAGGAGAAAUCAUUUAAAUGGCUAACAGUAUAAGGAGGGUUAAAUCAAGCACCCAGGUGUGGAAAUAGCUGAUUUACAUAUAUAGUUUAUGCCAUGUAAAACGUUUAUGAUCUAAUAUUGGAUGAAAAAACAGAAACAACAUUUUAUAUACAGUAUAAUCUAAAAUGUCUACAUUUCAUUAAAAAUGCAAGAAUAUAAUUAUCAAAAUUUGAGUGAUAAAAUUAUGA